GUGCAUUCUGAGAGAUGAAGCCCAGUCAGUCACUCCAGCCUGUAAAUGAGAAUAUCUGCAUGAAGCCACUGAACUACAGAUCCCAUGUGGCACCAUGCUGAUGCCUCAGUGAAUUUUCCAGGAAGUGCCAAGAAGCAUCCACGGUCCCAGAGAAAAGAAGAGAAUCCAACAUAUGCGGCCAUCGCUCUGCAGCAGGACAGGUGUCAGUAAUGCUCCGGUUGCUGACAUGCAGGGCUCAUCUGUGUGUAGCCAGAAUAAUCCUCCCCCUGCACCCAAAUAAGAGGCAGCUUUUGCAUCUGUGCAGCAAGGAAACUGGAGAUCUUAAGUGGGCCACAUCUGGACAAUGUUCAGCACCCAAAAUGGUGCCAGAAAAAUGUUUCUUCUCAGUAAAAUUCG